rnacentral:lncRNA from 1 species
UAGCCAACUUCCCAAGGAAAAAAUAUUACCAUAUCUUCCUUUAUGGAAUAUUUCCAAAUCUUCUUCAAAGUCUUUUGAAAAUCUUCUCUCGAUGAUUUACAUUUUCUCCAAGGUAAAUCAUAGCUUGUUUAGUCUCUAAGUAGUCUUUACUUUAGCUCUAAGUCGUCUCCAAUUUCAGUCUUCAAAUCAGCUACACAAUUCACUUCACGUAGCACUUCUUGUACGACUUCAUAUAGUACUUUACUACUAGUACAUGGACACCUUGAGGAGUUAUUUUUCUUCAGCUUCUAAAACUCAGUCGUCACUGCACUAACCACCAUGUCUCUCACCCUAUACCCUAAACUCAAAUCCUAUACCCUAAACUCAAAUCCUAGACCCUAAAUCCAAAUCGU